AGAGUAAAACAGUACGUGAAAUUGUUGAAAGGGAAACGCUUGAAGUCAGUCGUGCCGGCGGGGAUUCAGCAAACUCCACGGAGUGAGCGUAUUUCUUCGCAUGGCAGGUCAGCGUCAGUUUCGCGCGUCGUGAAAUGGUUCUGGUAAGGUGACUCUCUUCGGGGAGUGUUAUAGACCGGAGCAGAUGCGGGGGCGCGAGACUGAGGAUUGCAGCGGACACCCUUCGGGGCGCGGCGUCGGGUCUCUGUUCCGUCACCUGUGUUCGAUAGCGUGCUAACGGAUGCGGGAGCGGCGGCUUCACCGGACUGGCACGCCAGCGGUUCGCUUAGGACGCUGACGUAAUGGCUUUAAACGACC
rnacentral:rRNA from 1 species